CUCCUCUCCCCUUCCCUCCCCCUCCCUUCUCCUCCCCCUCCCCUCCCUCUUCCCUCCCCAUUCCCUUUGCUCCCCUUCUCAUGAUGUGGAGUAAUCUGGGAAGGCCUAAGCUUAAUCAUCUGGUAAAAAAUUAAAUGCCUUGCCCAGCUUUGAAACAGAAGUCACCCCUCAGUCUCUUCUGUGAGCAAAGUUCUGACCACAGUCUCCUUGGAUCUCGGACUCUAUGUUGAGGAUGGUUCCUCCGGACUCUUUGAGCGCUCAGCAGCAGCUCCUGGCAUUUAUGUGGAGCCUCACCACAUAGGACUUCACCAGGAGAAGAUUUCAUGUAGCUUCAAAAUGAAAUCAGAGCUCCUUGGUCACCCCUUGUUCCUCAGCAGUGGUUCCUUCAUGAGCACAGCUUGGACUUCAAGCCCCACAAGAAUGAGGGGUGAAGCAAAGAUUUCAGCCAAAGUUACACCCUCCUCACACCCAGCUGGCUAUAUGAUGGGAUGUGUGGCUAGUUGUGGCAAAGCUCUGACUGUUCAAUCUUCCUACAUCCUUCCCCUUCUCCUCCCAUUCCCCUCCCCUUCCUCCCUGCCCUCCCCUCUCCACUCUCCAUCUCACCUUCCUCACCCUUCCCCCUCCCUCUCCCUCCCCUCCCUCAUUCUCCUUUCUCUCCUCCCCUUCCACUCCCAUUCUCCCUCUCCCUCCCUCCUCUUUCUUUCCCCGUCCCUUCCCUCUCCCCUCCCCUCCCCCUUCCAUGUUUCAAAAUAUUCUCACGUCAUUCUGAAAACUUUAAUACAUUAUCCAAUGCAACUGUAAAUGUGCAGUUUAAACCUAGAUAUUCUUAAUGCACUUACUUGGAGAAUAUGGUAAUAUGGAUUCACCAUCCCUUAUUUAAAAUCUGAAAUCCAAAAUGUUCCAAAAUCCAAAAAAUUAAACUCAGCUUGGGACGUGCUAAGAAAACAAACACAUAUUUUGGCAAAGAUUUCAUUGAGAGAGUCUUGUCCUAAGAAGGCUUUUGGAAAAUGCAGAAGGACAUGUUAUUGGUUUUAAAAACUUCUAAUCUAUAUCCCGCUCCUGCGGGAAGGUAACGGUGCUCCAUGCAGUCAUGCCGGCCACAUGACCUUGGAGGUGUCUAUGGACAACACCGGCUCUUCGGCUUAGAAAUGGAGAUGAGCACCAACCCCCAGAGUCAGACAUGACUGGACUUAACGUCAGGGGAAACCUUUACCUAUCCUGCCACAGAUCAUCCUUCUUCUAUAUUUUCAGCUUUCUGUAGUCAUCUCACAAGUAGUGAAAUAUCCAAUGUAACUUCUGAUACCCUGAUUUAUAUAUCUGGGAGAUUUGCUCUGAAAUGAAACUGUGCCUGGAAGGACCCAGGACUUUGUAAGUUUUAGUAUGGGUUUGCCUUAAUUAAUUCUUUGCAUAUUGGGAGGAGGGAAUAAUAAGGACUGUAAAUUACUUUAUUUACUUUUACUGUGUGUUCUUAUGUUCACCUUGUUAUAUGUUUUACCAUUUGUUCUUAUUGAAAAUUAAUAAAGUAUAGAAUAUUCA